AUUCUGACCCGCCCUUUCAAAGGGCGGGUUUACUUUUUGUUUUUAUUUUUUUCUUAGAAAUUUAAUUUAUAUAUAUAUAUAUAUUUGUCAUCAUAUUUAUGUUAUUAUUUGUAAUCAUAUUUGUGUAUACAUUUUAAUCAAAAAAAUAUUUUUCAAAAUAAUAGCAACUAAGAAGUUGAUCCGACAUACUCUAUAUUCCUUAUAAUCAUAUGUUUGUAUGCCCGUUUUUUUGUAAUCAUAUUUGCUUAUUCUAGAUCUUCACCCGUAGAUAUAAUGUUACUUUAUAAUUUAUUUAUAUUUCUGUA
rnacentral:lncRNA from 1 species